GUAUCAGAAGUGCGAAUGCUGACAUGAGUAACGAUAAAGGGGGUGAAAAACCUCCUCGCCGGAAGACCAAGGGUUCCUGUCCAACGUUAAUCGGGGCAGGGUAAGUCGACCCCUAAGGCGAGGCCGAAAGGCGUAGUCGAUGGGAAACGGGUUAAUAUUCCCGUACUUCUUACAAUUGCGAUGGGGGGACGGAGAAGGCUAGGUGGGCCUGGCGACGGUUGUCCAGGUUCAAGUGCGUAGGCUUAAGAGUUAGGUAAAUCCGGCUCUUU
rnacentral:rRNA from 1 species